UACGGAGGGUGCAAGCGUUAAUCGGAAUCACUGGGCGUAAAGCGCACGUAGGCGGCUUUCUAAGUCAGGGGUGAAAUCCUGGAGCUCAACUCCAGAACUGCCUUUGAUACUGGGGAGCUCGAGUCCGGAAGAGGUGAGUGGAACUCCGAGUGUAGAGGUGAAAUUCGUAGAUAUUCGGAAGAACACCAGUGGCGAAGGCGGCUCACUGGUCCGGUACUGACGCUGAGGUGCGAAAGCGUGGGGAGCAAACAGG
rnacentral:rRNA from 1 species